rnacentral:rRNA from 1 species
CAGUAGCCGCGGGAAUACGUAGGUGGCAAGCGUUGUCCGGAAUUAUUGGGCGUAAAGGGCUCGCAGGCGGUUUCUUAAGUCUGAUGUGAAAGCCCCCGGCUCAACCGGGGAGGGUCAUUGGAAACCGGGAAACUUGAGUGCAGAAGAGGAGAGUGGAAUUCCACGUGUAGCGGUGAAAUGCGUAGAGAUGUGGAGGAACACCAGUGGCGAAGGCGACUCUCUGGUCUGUAACUGACGCUGAGGAGCGAAAGCGUGGGGAGCGAACAGGAUUAGAUACCCCUGUAGUCCCUGUCUCUUAUAC